rnacentral:rRNA from 1 species
GUAGGGAAUCUUCCACAAUGGACGAAAGUCUGAUGGAGCAAUGCCGCGUGAGUGAAGAAGGGUUUCGGCUCGUAAAACUCUGUUGUUAAAGAAGAACACCUUUGAGAGUAACUGUUCAAGGGUUGACGGUAUUUAACCAGAAAGCCACGGCUAACUACGUGCCAGCAGCCGCGGUAAUACGUAGGUGGCAAGCGUUGUCCGGAUUUAUUGGGCGUAAAGCGAGCGCAGGCGGUUUUUUAAGUCUGAUGUGAAAGCCUUCGGCUUAACCGGAGAAGUGCAUCGGAAACUGGGAGACUUGAGUGCAGAAGAGGACAGUGGAACUCCAUGUGUAGCGGUGGAAUGCGUAGAUAUAUGGAAGAACACCAGUGGCGAAGGCGGCUGUCUAGUCUGUAACUGACGCUGAGGCUCGAAAGCAUGGGUAGCGAACAGGAUUAGAUACCCGGGUAGUCC